CCAGCAGCCGCGGUAAUUCCAGCUCCAAUAGCGUAUAUUAAUGUUGUUGCAGUUAAAAAGCUCGUAGUUGAAAUUGAGGUCUAGAUUCGUUAGAAUCUUCGAAAGAUAGAUUACUGUUCCUUCCACCUCCGGNGCCGCUAUACAANNACAUCACUGGGUGUGGAUGAGGNGGGUAACCUACACGUUUACUUUGAAAAAAUUAGAGUGCUUAAAGCAGGCUUAUGCUUGCAUAAUGUUGCAUGGAAUAAUGAAAUANGACUUNGGUUUUAUUUUGUUGGUUUUC
rnacentral:rRNA from 1 species